AUUUUCAAUGCAGGAACUCAAUAUACAAUCAUCCUGGCUGGUGCAGGGCAAGAAGACAUUAGCAACAAAAUAAGAUCUACUGAUGUAUACACUCUAUACAAUCAUCUGAGAAAAACUCCAUUCCUCCACCAAGAACUUGAUGAGACUGGCUUUGUUGGCAGGGCUGCAGAGAAGUUUCCUCCACUGCUGAAUAUUGUGGCCAGAAACAAUGUUUCUGAACUGGAUCCCCAUGUCUGCACCUCUGUUUAGUCUUUCUGAAUUUUAGAUUGACAUGUCCUUGUAAACGUCAAAGACAACGUCAAUCCUUUCACUAUCACCACCUUCAUGCAGGACCUUGGCUAAAGUUGAGUCCAGCCAGCUUCCACCAUGUCAGGAUUGCGUAUUAAUGCAACCGAUUCGUGCCAACUACCAGGUUGCUAUCUGGAGACGGUCUCUCCAUACCAAGCCAUCUGUACCAAGCCCCAAGGACCAUGGGUGGACCAUAAAUGACGAAGGGCAGCUGGAAAUACAGUGGAUGCGUGGUUCCCCAGCACCAGAUGCGGUCUUGCAGUUGCUAUCCUGCAAGUGUGUGAGUACAUGCAAACCACCAGACUGAUCUUAGAAGUAGAUCUUAUUUUGUUGCUAAUGUCUUCUUGCCCUGCACUAGCCAGGAUGAUUGUAUAUUGAGUUCCUGCAUUGAAAAUAUCUCAGCGUCAUAUUAAAGUUGUGUUAUUAUAAUGCUAUUAGUCUGCAUUUACUUUACUUCUUCGGUCUUGCAGUUGCUAUCCUGCAAGUGUGUGAGGACAUGCAAACCACCAGACUGCACCUGUCUCAGCAAUGGGCUGAAGUGCACAAACCUGUGCAAAUUACAAACUUGUGCCAACCAAUACAGUGAGGAAGAGCCCCUUGCACACCCGGCAGAUUCAGAUGUAGAA